AGCAGCCGCGGUAAUUCCAGCUCCAAUAGCGUAUAUUAAAGUUGCUGCAGUUAAAAAGCUCGUAGUUGAAUUUCGGGAUCAAUAUGUUGGUCGUGCCUCGGUACGUACUAGCUUAUUGGUUUCUCCCUUCUGACGAACCAUGAUGUCAUUUAUUUGGUGUUAUGGGAAAUCAGGACUGUUACUUUGAAAAAAUUAGAGUGUUUAAAGCAGGCUCACGCUUGAAUACAUUAGCAUGGAAUAAUGAAAUAGGACGUUUGAUUCUAUUUUGUUGGUUUCUAGGAUCGACGUAAUGAUUAAUAGGGAUAGUUGGGGGCAUUAGCAUUCAAUUGUCAGAGGUGAAAUUCUUGGAUUUAUUGAAGACUAACUACUGCGAAAGCAUUUGCCAAGGAUGUUUUCAUUAAUCAAGAACGAAAGUUAGGGGAUCGAAGACGAUCAGAUACCGUCGUAGUCUUAACCAUAAACUAUGCCGACUAGGGAUCGGAUGAUGUUAAUUUUUAAUGUA
rnacentral:rRNA from 1 species